UACAGAGGGGGCAAGCGUUGUUCGGAAUUACUGGGCGUAAAGGGCGCGUAGGCGGCCCGCUAAGUCGAACGUGAAAUCCCCGAGCUCAACUCGGGAACUGCGUCCGAUACUGGCGGGCUUGAAUCCGGGAGAGGGAUGCGGAAUUCCAGGUGUAGCGGUGAAAUGCGUAGAUAUCGGGAGGAACAUCAGUGGCGAAGGCGGCUAUCUGGACCAACACUGACACUGAGGCACGAAAGCGUGGGUAGCAAACAGG
rnacentral:rRNA from 1 species